AGUUUGAUCAUGGCUCAGAAUCAACGCUGGCGGCGUGCCUCAGACAUGCAAGUCGAACGCGAAAGUCCCCUUCGGGGGACAAGUAGAGUGGCGCACGGGUGAGUAACACGUAGGUAAUCUACCUUCGGAUGGGGAAUAACAAUCGGAAACGGUUGCUAAUACCGCAUAAUGCAGCGGCACCUAAUGGUGACAGUUGUUAAAGCGGGGGAUCGAAAGACCUCGCGUCUGAAGAGGAGCCUGCGGCGGAUUAGCUAGUUGGUAAGGUAAUGGCUUACCAAGGCUACGAUCCGUAACCGGCCUGAGAGGGCGGUCGGUCACACUGACACUGACAUACGGGUCAGACUCCUACGGGAGGCAGCAGUCGGGAAUUUUGGGCGAUGGGCGAAAGCCUGACCCAGCAACGCCGCGUGAAGGAUGAAAUCCCUCGGGAUGUAAACUUCGCAAGAACAGGAAGAAUAAGUAGGGGACAAUACCCCCUAUGAUGACGGUACUGUUUGUAAGCUCCGGCUAACUCCGUGCCAGCAGCCGCGGUAAUACGGGGGGAGCAAGCGUUGUUCGGAUU
rnacentral:rRNA from 1 species